rnacentral:rRNA from 1 species
CAGCAGUGGGGAAUAUUGCACAAUGGGCGCAAGCCUGAUGCAGCAACGCCGUGUGAGUGAAGAAGGUUUUCGGAUCGUAAACUCUGUCCUAAGGGAAGAAACAAAUGACGGUACCUUAGGAGGAAGCCCCGGCUAACUACGUGCCAGCAGCCGCGGUAAUACGUAGGGGCAAGCGUUAUCCGGAAUCACUGGGCGUAAAGGGUGCGUAGGCGGCUUAGCAAGCCAGGGGUGAAAGGCAUUGGCUCAACCAAUGUAAGCCUUUGGAACUGUUAAGCUUGAGUGCAGGAGAGGUAAGUGGAAUUCCUAGUGUAGAGGUGAAAAUUCGUAGAUAUUAGGAGGAACACCAGUGGCGAAGGCGACUUACUGGACUGUAACUGACGCUGAUGCACGAAAGCGUGGGUAGCGAACAGGAUUAGAUACCCUGGUAG